GUCAAGACACGUUUACAUGUGUUAGUGCUGUGACUAAGUGUCUCUGUGCUGUCUUUAGUUUCCUUCAUGACUGUUUUUUUUUUGUAGCUACCAACAAAAAGCAGCCCGCGUUUGUAACUUCAUCAGAUUAGCGAUUUCCAAGUGACAUACGUUAUAUUUUUACUAUCGUGCUGCCUUAACACUUCAAUUUCCCCUAUGAGGACUUAAACAAAGUUUGUCUUAUCUUAUAUCCUAGCUUAACAUAAGACUUAAGCGUAAAUCAGUUGGUUAAAUUGUUUCUUGUGUCUUCACAACGCUGCCUCUCCGCACAGACUACUUCCGUGACAUAUUUUUAUAGGACACUUUAUUUUAGAUGUUUAAAAGAGAUUUGGCAUGUCAGUGCGUGUGUUCUGACGCACUGAAAUGACAGACAUAAAGUCUGAUUAUAAUGUAACUAUGAAUGUAUAGUGUAUAUUGUAAAUGCUUGCGUAUUUGGAGACUCGCUUGCGAUGCACACAGGUUAUUUCGAUGCUCAGAGUCUUCAUACAAAAUGCAGAUGCACAUUUGUUACAAAGCAAUGAGCACAAUUAUUAUUGCAGAGAUGUACAGAAUGUACUUAUGUAAGUUGGAUUUGCAAUUUGUACACUUACACAGACACAGCUGCUUCGAAAAUUGCAUUCAAACUACUAUGGACAAUGAGCAUUGUGUUUGUCUAAAAGAAAAGGCUGGUGUGAUGUGAUAUUCCAGUGAGCAACUUGCCCAGUAAGAUUCUUAAAACUGAAAGCGCAUACCUGCUGUCAGUCCUACCCCACAUAUAAAUGCUACGGGUUGCACUGCAAAGUGCUGCUGAUGACGGAGCAAGAGGUAGGUGUCAAACAGGAGGCAGAAGCGUUCGGCUUCGUCAUGGCGAACAUGGAGGAGCUCAAAUGGAAUGGGCAAAAGGGAAGGGACGGGAUCUGAAUAUUUUACCUGGAGAACCAAAUACUGUAGACCAGUCUAAAGAUCACUAGAACAGGAUGAAGAGUACAGCUUCAGCUAACCAAUUCUUCUGUGGCGCCAAUAAUGAAAAAGAGCAUGUGAAAGAGUAGGAGGAAGGAGUAGUUUCAAAUGAAAUUCAAGUUACACUACUUUCAGCAGUGCUGCGGAUCUGUGUCAUAAAUAUGAUUUGUUUUUAGUGUACCUUUGUACAAAUAUUUGGACAUUUACCAAAUUAUUGUUGUUUUAGCAGUCUAUUGCUGUCUAUAUUUUGGAGUUAAAUAAAGUUACAUAAGGAUAUGGAAAUGAAAUAACGAAUAUAUGGUCAAAGUGCAGACUCGGCUUUCAGCUUUAAUUUGAGAACAUUUACAGUCCCCUCCAAAACUAUUGGAACAGCAAGGCCAAUUCAUCUGUUUGUGCUGUAUACACCAAAGACAUAUGGGUUUGAGAUCAAAUGAUGGAUAUGAGACGAGAGUUUAGGAUUUCAGCUUUUACUUCCUGGUGUUUACAUCUAGACGUGUUAAACAACAUAAAACGUGAAACCUUUUGUAUCAGACCACCCAAUGUUUAGGUGAGCAAAAGUAUAGGAACAGUAAAUUGAACUAAAUAACACUUAAUAUUUGGUUGCAGAUCCCUUGUUUGCAAUAACUGCGUCAAGCCUGCACCUCAUUGAUAUAACCAAAUUGUUGGUUUAUAUUAUUUUGUGAUGCUUUUACUGCAUCCUCUUUCAGUUGUUGUUUGUUUCCUCUUCAGGAAGUGAAAUGCUGCUCAACUGGGUUAAAGGCUGGGUAACAGGAAUCACCUGUCAGUCGCGUGUUCCAAUAUUUUUUUCUCACCUGCAAAUUGGGUGGACUGAUACAAAAUGUGCUAUGUUCCAUGUUGUUCAACACAUCUGCAUGUAAAUACCAGGAAAUAAAAGAUUAUAUUUUAAAUGCUGUUCUCAUAUUCAUCUUUUGAACUCAAACCCAAAUGUCUUCAGUCUAUAACAAAAACAAAUGAACUGCUCAUGCCAUACCAAUAGUUUCAAAGCGGAGGGUACAUUCACAUUAUUCAAGCAUUUUUUCUAUGGGGUCUACCACUUUUUAGACUACCAAAUGUAAUUGGACAAUUGGGCUCUUAACUGUUCCAGCUGUGUGCUAUUCCCUCAUUAUUUCACUUCCAGGUAAGCAGAUUAAAAAGUCAAAAGUUGAGUUCAAGUGUGUCAUUUGCAUUUGGAAUCUGUUGCUGUUGACUCUCAAUAUGAAGAGUAGUAUCAACAAACCAUUCAGAGAGAUCGCAAAAGCAUUAGUUGUGGCCAAAUCAACUGUUUAGUACAUUCUUAAUUAGAAGGAAUGUGCUGGUGAGCUCAGGAACACCAAAAGGCCCGAAAGACCACAGUAAACAUCUUGUGUGGAUGACUGAAGAAUCCUUCCCCAAUGAAGAAAAAUCCCUCUCAAAAUAGUUGCCGAGAUCAAAAAACCCUCCAGGAGGUAUCUGUGUCAAGUCAACAAUCAAGGGAAGUCCUCACCAGAGUAAAUACAGAGGUUUUACCACAAGAUGUAUACCUCAAAAACAGGAAGACCAGAUUAAAGUUUGCCAAAAACAUCUUUAAAAGCCUGUGCAGUUCUGCAACAACAUCCUAUGGACAGAUGAGACAAAGAUCAACUUGAAGCAGAAUGAUGGGAAGAGAAGAGUAUGGAGAAAGGAUGUGGGGGGCUUCAAUCUUAUCCGCAAAGGACCGGUGUAGCUGAAGGCCUUCAUUCUAGCCAAACAGGAGGUACACUUCAUAGUCGAUUGGAACCCUUGGUGAACUGAUUAAACAAGUGGAAACAGGUGUGACUCCUGCCUGGUUGGAAUGAAAGCGUGCAGCCAAACUCGCCCUUUGUGGACAAGAUUGAAGACCCCUGACUUAUGGUGUGGGUGUGUAUGGCUGCCAAUGGAACUGGUUCCCUUGUGUUUAUGUUGGUUUAUGUGACUGCUGAGAAAAGCAGCAGGGUGAAUUGUGAAGUGUAUAGGGCUAUAUUAUCUGCUCAGAUUAAGCCAAAUGCUUCAAACUCAUUGGACGGCACUUCACACUGCAGACGGACAAUGAUACGACACAUACUUCAUAAGCAACCCAAGACUUUUUAAGGCAAAGAAGGGGAAUGUUCUGCAAUGGCCAAGUCAAUCACCUGACCUGAAUUCAUCUGAGCAUGCAUUUCACUUGCUGAAGGCGAAACCCAAAGCAAAAUGGCGAAUGAACAAGCAGGAAGUGAAGACAACUGCAGUAAAGGCCUGGCAGAAGUAUAUCCAGGUGUUUCGUAAUUUGUGAUUUAAACCCGACUGGACUUUCUUGAUGGAGGAAAAAAAGAAGACCUGCACAAAUGGUCCUCAGCCUGGCAGCGAGGAGCACCUAACAGUGCAAUGGAUAGCAACAUGUGCUGCAAAAAAAACAUGAGGGUGUUGUCAUAGUGAUGCGAGAGAACUGGAGGAGAACCAACUGUGCAGAAAAACCCUCGGUGCUCUGCAGUGCCAUCACUUCGUUUGUUUAAUCAUUCUCUAUGCUCACUAACAGCAGCUUGCUUACAAAUGGCCCGAUCGCAAAUUAUACACCAUGCAGUGUAAUCGCAUCUGUUUUACUUUUCUGUUAAGUAAAGCAGAGACCGUGAUCAUGUACAUCGUAUAACUUCGUUUAACUUAUGGACAGAGGAAUCUGCCAACAAGCUGCGGAUAUAAGCCUGCAAUAUGGAUCAGCAUCCAGCGGGCAGAGGAGGGCAGCUAUAUUUACAUAGUGCUUGGAGUGGGAGGACAGAACAUGAGUACCGCAGUGAUCGUCUCUUAAAGCAGGCUGGAUGACGGAUCGGGAAAACAAGAAAACGUUUCUCGUGUGCGUAAAAAAAAAAAAAAAGAGUCAGAACAUUCAUGCAACGGAUGGGAUGUUGUCUGCCUUGCUAAUUACAUCUGCUCACAAGGAAAUUUCUGUCCUGGUAUUAUAUUUAUUAACGCCUUCUUGAGAUAGCUUUAUGGGUUGGAAAUGUAUGCUGAAAGCCCUCUGAACCACUUUCCACAUUGCGCAUAAACUGUAGUGCAUACAAUUCUGAGCAGUGUUUGUAUACUAUUUUCUAUCAUACAGCACAUUCAAACAGUAUAGUCGUGCAAGCUGCAUAAGGAAUUAGUUUCUGGUAGUUAUUUAACAGCUCCACGCGUCCCCUAUAAUAACCCCAAGCCAUGACUCGGGGCUCUACUUUGUGUUCAUUAAGGCACUGAAGCAGAAGGUUACACACUGUGUGUAGGAUGUAGGGUGUAUCUCAGUUGUACUCCUGAGUACUCAAGCUUUGUUAUCUAACUGACAAUAGGAUCUAGGCAGUGAAUAAGAAUGCAAAUUCCGGUAGACACGGUGUGAGAGCUCAUAAUAUAAAAAUAUAUAAGGAACUCACUACAUGAUCCCUUGAAUUUCAUAUUUCAGUGGCGUGUUCCCAAUAUUUGUUCGACGAGACCAUUGACAGUGAUUUCGAUGUGUUUUAAAUCACCAAUACCAAACAGUGAAAAUUAUGUGUGUAUGUAUGUAUGUAUGUAUGUAUGUAUGUAUAAUCUCUUAAUGACUCCAAGCUGCAGAUAUAAGCGAUAUUUGCAUGCAUAUUUUCAGAUAUUUGCAUGCUGCUACAGAACAGAGUGAACAAUGAAAGAUCAGUCUCAGUGCCAUGUCUGUCACAAAUCAAAUAAAUGAGGUGCAAGAUAAGGCUGAGGAAAUGACAAGAAGCUCAGCAUCUCUGAGCUGUUAUGAAUAAAUCAUUAAACCAACAGGAUUGCUCUAUAGCCCCAGUGGUCAACAACCCUCUUCCUUGAGAUCUACAUUCCUGUAGGUUUCAUCUCCAGCCAAAAAUUUAACGCACCUGUUUUAGUUGAUCAAGAACUUCUUAAGGCAAUGAUUAGAUGGUCAGGUGGGCACGAUUAUGUUUGAAGUCUUCAGGAAGGUAGAUCUCUGGGAACACGGUUGGUGACCACUGGAUUAGAUGAUCAGGUGGGCACUAUUAUAGUUGUAGCUAACAUUUUCAUGAAGGUAGAUCUCUGGGAACAGGGCUGGUGACCACUGGAUUAGAUGGUAUGGUGGGCAUGA